rnacentral:rRNA from 1 species
CCGGAUUUAUUGGGCGUAAAGCGAGCGCAGGCGGUUUUUUAAGUCUGAUGUGAAAGCCUUCGGCUUAACCGAAGAAGUGCAUCGGAAACUGGGAAACUUGAGUGCAGAAGAGGACAGUGGAACUCCAUGUGUAGCGGUGAAAUGCGUAGAUAUAUGGAAGAACACCAGUGGCGAAGGCGGCUGUCUGGUCUGUAACUGACGCUGAGGCUCGAAAGCAUGGGUAGCGAACAGGAUUAGAUACCCUGGUAGUCCAUGCCGUAAACGAUGAAUGCUAAGUGUUGGAGGGUUUCCGCCCUUCAGUGCUGCAGCUAACGCAUUAAGCAUUCCGCCUGGGGAGUACGACCGCAAGGUUGAAACUCAAAGGAAUUGACGGGGGCCCGCACAAGCGGUGGAGCAUGUGGUUUAAUUCGAAGCAACGCGAAGAACCUUACCAGGUCUUGACAUCUAGCGCCAAUCCCAGAGAUGGGACGUUCCCUUCGGGGACGCUAAGACAGGUGGUGCAUGGUUGUCGUCAGCUCGUGUCGUGAGAUGUUGGGUUAAGUCCCGCAACGAGCGCAACCCUUAUUAUCAGUUGCCAGCAUUCAGUUGGGCACUCUGGUGAGACUGCCGGUGACAAACCGGAGGAAGGUGGGGACGACGUCAAAUCAUCAUGCCCCUUAUGACCUGGGCUACACACGUGCUACAAUGGACGGUACAACGAGUUGCGAACUCGCGAGGGUAAGCUAAUCUCUUAAAGCCGUUCUCAGUUCGGACUGUAGGCUGCAACUCGCCUACACGAAGUCGGAAUCGCUAGUAAUCGCGGAUCAGAAUGCCGCGGUGAAUACGUUCCCGGGCCUUGUACACACCGCCCGUCACACCAUGAGAGUUUGUAACACCCAAAGUCGGUGGGGUAACCUUUUAUUAGGAGCCAGCCGCCUAAGGUGGGAUAGAUGAUUAGGGUGAAGUCGUAACAAGGUAGCCGUAGGAGAACCUGCGGCUG